GUUUUGAUAGUUUAAUUGAAAACUUCGGUCUUGUAAAUCGAAAAUGAAAAUAGAUAUUUCUCAAUACA
rnacentral:tRNA from 2 species